UACGAAGGGGGCUAGCGUUGCUCGGAAUCACUGGGCGUAAAGCGCACGUAGGCGGAUUGUUAAGUCAGGGGUGAAAUCCUGGAGCUCAACUCCAGAACUGCCUUUGAUACUGAAGAUCUCGAGUCCGGGAGAGGUGAGUGGAACUGCGAGUGUAGAGGUGAAAUUCGUAGAUAGUCGCAAGAACACCAGUGGCGAAGGCGGCUCACUGGCCCGGUACUGACGCUGAGACGCGAAAGCGUGGGGAGCAAACAGG
rnacentral:rRNA from 1 species